AGUGAACGCUGGCGGUAGGCCUAACACAUGCAAGUCGAACGGCAGCACAGGAGAGCUUGCUCUCUAGGUGGCGAGUGGCGGACGGGUGAGGAAUACAUCGGAAUCUGCCCAGUCGUGGGGGAUAACGUAGGGAAACUUACGCUAAUACCGCAUACGACCUUCGGGUGAAAGAGGGGGAUCGCAAGACCUCUCGCGAUUGGAUGAGCCGAUGUCGGAUUAGCUAGUUAGCGGGGUAAUGGCCCACCAAGGCGACGAUCCGUAGCUGGUCUGAGAGGAUGAUCAGCCACACUGGAACUGAGACACGGUCCAGACUCCUACGGGAGGCAGCAGUGGGGAAUAUUGGACAAUGGGCGCAAGCCUGAUCCAGCCAUACCGCGUGGGUGAAGAAGGCCUUCGGGUUGUAAAGCCCUUUUGUUGGGAAAGAAAUCUUUCAGGCUAAUACCCUGGGAGGAUGACGGUACCCGAAGAAUAAGCACCGGCUAACUUCGUG
rnacentral:rRNA from 1 species